rnacentral:sRNA from 1 species
AUGAAGCCCCGCGCGCGCGGAUGGCGGGGCUUGGCGGCGCUGUGGAUGCUGCUGGCGCAGGUGGCCGAGCAGGCACCUGCGUGCGCCAUGGGACCCGCAGCGGCAGCGCCUGGGAGCCCGAGCGUCCCGCGUCCUCCUCCACCCGCGGAGCGGCCGGGCUGGAUGGAAAAGGGCGAAUAUGACCUGGUCUCUGCCUACGAGGUUGACCACAGGGGCGAUUACGUGUCCCAUGAAAUCAUGCACCAUCAGCGGCGGAGAAGAGCAGUGGCCGUGUCCGAGGUUGAGUCUCUUCACCUUCGGCUGAAAGGCUCCAGGCACGACUUCCACAUGGAUCUGAGGACUUCCAGCAGCCUAGUGGCUCCUGGCUUUAUUGUGCAGACGUUGGGAAAGACAGGCACGAAGUCUGUGCAGACUUUACCGCCAGAGGACUUCUGUUUCUAUCAAGGCUCUUUGCGAUCACACAGAAACUCCUCAGUGGCCCUUUCAACCUGCCAAGGCUUGUCAGGCAUGAUACGAACAGAAGAGGCAGAUUACUUCCUAAAGCCACUUCCUUCACACCUCUCAUGGAAACUCGGCAGAGCUGCCCAGGGCAGCUCGCCGUCCCACGUACUGUACAAGAGAUCCACAGAGCCCCAUGCUCCUGGGGCCAGUGAGGUCCUGGUGACCUCGAGGACAUGGGAGCUGGCACAUCAACCCCUGCACAGCAGCGACCUUCACCUGGGACUGCCACAAAAGCAGCAUUUCUGUGGAAGACGCAAGAAAUACAUGCCCCAGCCUCCCAAGGAAGACCUCUUCAUCUUGCCAGACGAGUAUAAGUCUUGCUUACGGCAUAAGCGCUCUCUUCUGAGGUCCCAUAGAAAUGAAGAACUGAACGUGGAGACCUUGGUGGUGGUCGACAAAAAGAUGAUGCAAAACCAUGGCCAUGAAAAUAUCACCACCUACGUGCUCACGAUACUCAACAUGGUAUCUGCUUUAUUCAAAGAUGGAACAAUAGGAGGAAACAUCAACAUUGCCAUUGUAGGUCUGAUUCUUCUAGAAGAUGAACAGCCAGGGCUGGUGAUAAGUCACCAUGCAGACCACACCUUAAGUAGCUUCUGCCAGUGGCAGUCUGGAUUGAUGGGGAAAGAUGGGACUCGUCAUGACCACGCCAUCUUACUGACUGGUCUGGAUAUAUGUUCCUGGAAGAAUGAGCCCUGUGACACUUUGGGAUUUGCACCCAUAAGUGGAAUGUGUAGUAAAUAUCGCAGCUGCACGAUUAAUGAAGAUACAGGUCUUGGACUGGCCUUCACCAUUGCCCAUGAGUCUGGACACAACUUUGGCAUGAUUCAUGAUGGAGAAGGGAACAUGUGCAAAAAGUCCGAGGGCAACAUCAUGUCCCCUACAUUGGCAGGACGCAAUGGAGUCUUCUCCUGGUCACCCUGCAGCCGCCAGUAUCUACACAAAUUUCUAAGCACCGCUCAAGCUAUCUGCCUUGCUGAUCAGCCAAAGCCUGUGAAGGAAUACAAGUAUCCUGAGAAAUUGCCAGGAGAAUUAUAUGAUGCAAACACACAGUGCAAGUGGCAGUUCGGAGAGAAAGCCAAGCUCUGCAUGCUGGACUUUAAAAAGGACAUCUGUAAAGCCCUGUGGUGCCAUCGUAUUGGAAGGAAAUGUGAGACUAAAUUUAUGCCAGCAGCAGAAGGCACAAUUUGUGGGCAUGACAUGUGGUGCCGGGGAGGACAGUGUGUGAAAUAUGGUGAUGAAGGCCCCAAGCCCACCCAUGGCCACUGGUCGGACUGGUCUUCUUGGUCCCCAUGCUCCAGGACCUGCGGAGGGGGAGUAUCUCAUAGGAGUCGCCUCUGCACCAACCCCAAGCCAUCGCAUGGAGGGAAGUUCUGUGAGGGCUCCACUCGCACUCUGAAGCUCUGCAACAGUCAGAAAUGUCCCCGGGACAGUGUUGACUUCCGUGCUGCUCAGUGUGCCGAGCACAACAGCAGACGAUUCAGAGGGCGGCACUACAAGUGGAAGCCUUACACUCAAGUAGAAGAUCAGGACUUAUGCAAACUCUACUGUAUCGCAGAAGGAUUUGAUUUCUUCUUUUCUUUGUCAAAUAAAGUCAAAGAUGGGACUCCAUGCUCGGAGGAUAGCCGUAAUGUUUGUAUAGAUGGGAUAUGUGAGAGAGUUGGAUGUGACAAUGUCCUUGGAUCUGAUGCUGUUGAAGACGUCUGUGGGGUGUGUAACGGGAAUAACUCAGCCUGCACGAUUCACAGGGGUCUCUACACCAAGCACCACCACACCAACCAGUAUUAUCACAUGGUCACCAUUCCUUCUGGAGCCCGGAGUAUCCGCAUCUAUGAAAUGAACGUCUCUACCUCCUACAUUUCUGUGCGCAAUGCCCUCAGAAGGUACUACCUGAAUGGGCACUGGACCGUGGACUGGCCCGGCCGGUACAAAUUUUCGGGCACUACUUUCGACUACAGACGGUCCUAUAAUGAGCCCGAGAACUUAAUCGCUACUGGACCAACCAACGAGACACUGAUUGUGGAGCUGCUGUUUCAGGGAAGGAACCCGGGUGUUGCCUGGGAAUACUCCAUGCCUCGCUUGGGGACCGAGAAGCAGCCCCCUGCCCAGCCCAGCUACACUUGGGCCAUCGUGCGCUCUGAGUGCUCCGUGUCCUGCGGAGGGGGACAGAUGACCGUGAGAGAGGGCUGCUACAGAGACCUGAAGUUUCAAGUAAAUAUGUCCUUCUGCAAUCCCAAGACACGACCUGUCACGGGGCUGGUGCCUUGCAAAGUAUCUGCCUGUCCUCCCAGCUGGUCCGUGGGGAACUGGAGUGCCUGCAGUCGGACGUGUGGCGGGGGUGCCCAGAGCCGCCCCGUACAGUGCACACGGCGGGUGCACUAUGACUCGGAGCCAGUCCCGGCCAGCCUGUGCCCUCAGCCUGCUCCCUCCAGCAGGCAGGCCUGCAACUCUCAGAGCUGCCCACCUGCAUGGAGCGCCGGGCCCUGGGCAGAGUGCUCACACACCUGUGGGAAGGGGUGGAGGAAGCGGGCAGUGGCCUGUAAGAGCACCAACCCCUCGGCCAGAGCGCAGCUGCUGCCCGACGCUGUCUGCACCUCCGAGCCCAAGCCCAGGAUGCAUGAAGCCUGUCUGCUUCAGCGCUGCCACAAGCCCAAGAAGCUGCAGUGGCUGGUGUCCGCCUGGUCCCAGGUAGGUGCACUGGUCUCGCGGGAGCGAGGUUGACCAGCUCU